rnacentral:rRNA from 1 species
CCUACGGGAGGCAGCAGUGGGGAAUAUUGCACAAUGGGGGAAACCCUGAUGCAGCGACGCCGCGUGAGUGAAGAAGUAAUUCGUUAUGUAAAGCUCUAUCAGCAGGGAAGAAAAUGACGGUACCUGAGUAAGAAGCACCGGCUAACUACGUGCCAGCAGCCGCGGUAAGACGUAGGGGGCAAGCGGUAUCCGGAAUUACUGGGUGUAAAGGGAUCGUAGAAGGCCGUGCAAGUCUGGAUUGAAAGGCGGGGGCUCAACCUCCGGAAUGCUCUGGAAACUGUACGGCUGGAGUGCAGGAGAGGUAAGUAGAAUUCCUGGUGUAGCGGUGAAAUGCGUAGAUAUUAGGAGGAACACCAGUGGCGAAGGCGGCUUCCUGGACUGUAACUGACGUUGAGGCGCGAAAGCGUGGGGAGCAAACAGGAUUAGAUACCCCUGUAGUC